CUUCCGUAGGUGAACCUGCGGAAGGAUCAUUAACGAGUUAGGGUCCCUCGCGGCCCGACCUCCCAACCCUUUGUCUACCUGACCACUGUUGCUUCGGCGAGCCCGUCUGUAAUGGACCGCCGGGGGGUACCUUGAUCGGCCCUCUGGUCCGCGCUCGUCGAUAGCCAAACUUUUAAAAUCUUAACCAAACGUGUCUCAAUCUAAGUAUUAUUUGUUAAAUAAAAGCAAAACUUUCAACAACGGAUCUCUUGGUUCUGGCAUCGAUGAAGAACGCAGCGAAAUGCGAUAAGUAAUGCGAAUUGCAGAAUUUCAGUGAGUCAUCGAAUCUUUGAACGCACAUUGCGCCCUUUGGUAUUCCGAAGGGCAUGCCUGUUCGAGCGUCAUUAUCACCCCUCAAGCCCCCGGCUUGGUGUUGGACGGUUUGGUGGAGGCCCCCUCGCGGGGCCACCGCCCCUCCCAAAGACAAUGACGGCGGCCUCGUUGGACCCCCGGUACACUGAGUUCUUCACGGGACACGUAUCGGACACAUGGGUUUACGGGACACGGUCUGCCUCCCCUCAGGGAGAAUCUUUCUAAGGUUGACCUCGGAUCAGGUAGGGAUACCCGCUGAACUUAAGCAUAUCAAUAAGCGGAGGAA
rnacentral:misc_RNA from 1 species